UGGGGAAUCUUGGACAAUGGGCGCAAGCCUGAUCCAGCCAUGCCGCGUGGAUGAUGAAGGCCUUAGGGUUGUAAAAUCCUUUCGUUGGGGACGAUAAUGACGGUACCCAAAGAAGAAGCUCCGGCUAACUUCGUGCCAGCAGCCGCGGUAAUACGAAGGGGGCUAGCGUUGUUCGGAUUUACUGGGCGUAAAGCGCACGUAGGCGGUUUUUAAGUCAGAUGUGAAAGCCCCGGGCUCAACCUGGGAAUUGCAUUUGAAACUGGAAAACUAGAGUGUGUGAGAGGGGGGUAGAAUUCCAAGUGUAGCGGUGAAAUGCGUAGAGAUUUGGAGGAAUACCAGUGGCGAAGGCGGCCCCCUGGCACAACACUGACGCUCAGGUGCGAAAGCGUGGGGAGCAAACAGGAUUAGAUACCCCAGUAGUCCCUGAGCGGGCUGGCAAGGCGCAU
rnacentral:rRNA from 1 species